UACAGAGGGGGCAAGCGUUGUUCGGAAUUACUGGGCGUAAUGGGCGCGUAGGCGGCCUACUAAGUCGAACGUGAAAUCCCUGGGCUCAACCCAGGAACUGCGUCCGAUACUGGGAGGCUUGAAUCCGGGAGAGGGAUGCGGAAUUCCAGGUGUAGCGGUGAAAUGCGUAGAUAUCUGGAGGAACACCGGUGGCGAAGGCGGCAUCCUGGACCGGCAUUGACGCUGAGGCGCGAAAGCCAGGGGAGCAAACGGG
rnacentral:rRNA from 1 species